UGGGGAAUAUUGCACAAUGGGCGCAAGCCUGAUGCAGCGACGCCGCGUGAGGGAUGGAGGCCUUCGGGUUGUAAACCUCUUUCGCCAGUGAAGCAGGCCAUCUUCUUUGUGGGGUGGUUGACGGUAGCUGGAUAAGAAGCGCCGGCUAACUACGUGCCAGCAGCCGCGGUAAUACGUAGGGCGCGAGCGUUGUCCGGAAUUAUUGGGCGUAAAGAGCUCGUAGGCGGCUGGUCGCGUCUGUCGUGAAAUCCCCUGGCUUAACUGGGGGCUUGCGGUGGGUACGGGCCGGCUUGAGUGCGGUAGGGGGGACUGGAAUUCCUGGUGUAGCGGUGGAAUGCGCAGAUAUCAGGAGGAACACCGGUGGCGAAGGCGGGUCUCUGGGCCGUUACUGACGCUGAGGAGCGAAAGCGUGGGGAGCGAACAGG
rnacentral:rRNA from 1 species